rfam:Gossypium hirsutum cultivar TM-1 unplaced genomic scaffold scaffold104.1, whole genome shotgun sequence
AGCUAAUACUUUCCAAUUAUACUGUUAAAAACUAACGGGGUAGACAGAAUAAUCAAAUAGUUACCUGUGACGUGCCACGUUUACCUUGUUUUGACAUACAAGGACUAGUUUUUAACAGUAGAAAUGGAUGAAAUUUUUAACA